GUCUUUUUUUUCUUUGGAAUGUUGGCAGCAACGAAAGUGAGAGGGAUAAUAUAGUGAUCAAAAUGUGGUUUUCCUUUAUUUUUCUUUACUUCGAGUGCUUUAUAAUUUGGAAAUGCUAUUGCUGGAUGUUUUGAAUUCUAGGGUUUCUCUUUACUGCCGUGGAACCAUUUCCAGAUUCGAUUACAGCUCAGACUGAAAAUUUUGUUUGAUUACGGUCUUUGUUAUUAGGGAAUGUUUUCUUGUAUAAAAACUAUUUCAUUUAGAUACAGGGAAAUGUUGUUUUAAUUUUUUUUUUGCUCUAUUCUCUUGGAAACCAAACAGUGUUAGGGGUUGUCUUUGAAUGCCUUUAACUUGUUAUUGCUAUUGUUUAAUGUUUUGAAUCCUAGGAUUUCAUUUUGGACCAUGGCUCAAGCUAGAAUUUUUAUAAAAUUAACAAUCAGAGAACAAUAUCUUGGAUGAUGGUAUCAAAAAACGAUUUGGAUUGAAUUUUUUGUGAUCUUAUGGGUGAAUUUAUUAUGAUUGUUAUAGUUAAAUAACUAAUUGGAGUUAUUUCUUCCUUUUAAUCAAAUAACCCAUUAAUAAAUAUGGGGAAUCUGAAGGGAAAUACAUGUUAUAAUAGGGGUGCCUUGGAAAGAAAAAAGUCUACAAACUCCUCGUACUUUUGUAUAUACUAUAGUACAUACUAUAGAUAUAGAUAUAGAUAAUAUGUAUUUAUAUACGGGGAUAGGGUAAAAUUUCAAAAUCAUAACACAUCAUUGGAUGAUAAUCUAUUUUAAUUAAAAUAGGUUGGUUUGCGAUUUAUAAUAUAAGAUUUCCAUGGGACCCAUUUGAGAAUGUUAUUUAGGUUAGUUUGAGGAAUGGAAGAAGGGGUUCUGAGAGUGAUGGAGAAGCCAAACGAGAAGCAAAUACUCUUAUUCUAUUGCAUGGAGUCGGAGGACCUUGCUCGCAAAGUGGCUGAACAAUCCCCCCUUAUUCAGCUUCAAUCCAUUAACUGGAGGUCCUUUCUCUCCUUCUCUGUCCAUAUCUACUCCCAAUUCUUUUUUAUUAUCUUUGAUUUUUCAACACUAUUAACUCAUUAAUCUUCACUUUGUUCUUUCUGUUAUUUCUGCACUUUAUAUUCCCUUUCUUUCAUUAAUUUGAAGUGGAUAUCCCUGCUUUUUCACUGUUGUGUAGUUCAAAUUUUGUUAUUUUCUGCACUAUAUGUUGCUUUUUUCUCAUGAAUUUGGAGUGUGUAUUUUCCCUUGUUUUUCCAUUUAGUUCUCCCUGGGCUUGGCUUGUUUUGAAAUUUUAUGCAUUUUAUUUUGCUUUUCUUUUUUCUAAUGAUUAUGUAGCAGGUGUUUUUCCUUUUCUGCAUGUAGUUUUUCCUGGGAUUAGUUUGUUUUCUUAUUGUUGCAUUUUAUAUUUCUUAUCUGUUGAAUGUGAAGUGGGUAUGUUGCUUUUCACUAUUUGCUUCGCUGGACUAUUUCAUAAAUGCUUUAAGUUAUAUUUAUAUUUCUCUCUUGAUAUUUGAAGUGAGCAUGUUGCUUUUCACCAUUUAGUUCUCUAGACCUUUUUUUCCCCUUUUUUUCUUUUUGGUUAUUUGUGCAUUUACUAUUGUUUUUCUCUCAUGAAUUUGAAAUGGGUAUGCUGCCUUUUACCAAGUGGUUCUCUGAUUAUCUGUAUAUUAAUAAAAAUAAAAAGAACAUACAUUUUUGUGCCAUCUUAUAUGAUCUUUGUCACUGUCACAGUUUGACAAAGCAGUUCAUGUUACCAAGAAUUGUAUUACUAAACAUGUUGAAAAAAAAAUUUCUUGACCUCAUUGAAACAGAAAUUAGAGGCAUAUUAUACAAAUGACCAGCUAAAUUGUAAAUGAAGCAUGAGAGUCCAAUGAGGAAUAAAGCCAAAGAAAACCACCAAACUAACUUGGCAUGUACUCACCUCAAAAUUUACGAAAGACAGAGCACCCCUCUCUGCAAGCAGUAGCCCAAGGUGUCCAAGCCAAACACAUACACACACACACACACCAGAUAUAUAUAUAUAUAUAUAUAUAUAUAUAUAUAAUUAUUUGAUUAAUUAAUUAAAAAUCCAGAAAGUUGCUCUUUAAGCAAGUAUCCCCAUUUCCAAUGAUCACCUUUCUAUCUUGUGAUAUAAGUAAUCUAUCACCUUCAUUACAAAUUUUUUUCCAUUUUAAGGCCGACAAGGAGAGCACUAAUUUCUGUUUUCUUUCAUGGUUUGGAUUACCCAAAAUAAUGGAGUAAGCGUAGAUGAUAUGAUACAUAUUUUCUCUUGGAAAAAUUCAUUUUAUGAAUUUUUGUUUUUAUGUGUCACAAAAAUAUAUCUAGAGUUAAGUCACAGUUGGGUUUAAUCUGUUUUUUAGCAAGAAUGUUGUCAUUUAGUCUAAGUGAUGACUUUUUUUUAUCUGAAAAGCGAUAAUGAUAAAAUUUUAUGCAUAUGUCAGGAGUUUUGAUGAUGGAUUCCCCAAUCUAUUCAUAAACAAUGCACAAUAUAUCCGGGGCCAACAUGUUGCCUUUUUGGCAUCCUUCAGCUCUCCAGCAGUCAUCUUUGAACAGCUUUCUGUCAUAUUUGCCCUUCCAAGACUGUUUGUUGCUUCGUUCACAUUGGUUUUACCCUUCUUCCCAACUGGCUCCUUUGAGCGAAUGGAAGAGGAAGGGGAUGUAGCUACUGCAUUCACCAUGGCAAGGAUAUUGUCAAAUAUUCCGAUAUCAAGGGGAGGUCCAACCAGUCUAGUCAUCUAUGAUAUACAUGCUUUGCAGGUUGUUUUUUCUUGCACUGAAAAUGAUCAUUGAUGCUUCUUUUUAAUUGUUUGCUUCUUUAAUAAUGCAACUUUUUUAGAUUGCUCAAUUUAUGUGCCAUUGUUGUAAUCACUUUGAUUCUGCCAUAUUUACAUACCCAUUCCUUCGUUCUAUACCCUUCUUUUGGUUCAUGAACUAGGGGAUUUUAAAGGGUUAGGAAAAUUCCUUGCCAUGUAGUAUAACUGAAAAAAAUUUUGUUUUUCCUUUUUUUCCCAAUUUGAAUUUAUUUACUUGGUAUUUCAAAAGGUUUAAAAGACUAUCUAAAUUGGGAUAAAUUUCGAAAUUAAGUAUGAGGAUGUCUUUUCAUUUAGUUAAGAAUUUUCAAGGAUAUUCAUUUCCAAUGGGUUGUAAUAAUAAUUUCUGAUUGUAGAUAUAGAUGUGGGAGGACCCGAAAUCAAGACCUCCAUUUAAGAAGAGACAGACCUGAUACCAUGUUAAGUUAUCAGCAUUCCUAAAAACUGAAGCUGUUAGGAUUUGAAUCCAUGGCGUAUAUCAUAUAUUUGACCAAAGCCUUGGUUGUGAGCUCACUAUUAUAGGUAACCUAAGCCUGGAGUGGCGUGUGAAGAAGUGAGAUAGGGAGAGCAUGAGACUGACAAUUACAGAAAUACUUUAUGAUUCAAAGCACCUAUAUGUGUGUGUAUGCCUGAAAUUAGCAAACUUUGCUUGUAUAACAAUGUUUAAGCAUGCCUACAUGUGCGUUUCUCUGUUUAUGAUAUAUUUAUGUGUGCAUAUAAGCCGUCUAACUAAAAAAUUUAUUAAAUAUACAAAGGAGUCAAAAACAUGAUGAAAUAAAUGAUCUUGUUUCAACUUUCAGCCUUAGGUAAACUUUUUCUUGUUAUGAUCCAAGCUCUAUUUUAAGAGAGCACCAUCUUAAGAAUUUUUUAAAUAUAUUGAAAUGAGUAAAUGGAAUGCAUUAUUUACUCCAAUUCCAACUUCUUGUAAGCAAUUACUAGUGAAGCAUUUCUCCCAAUUUAUUAAUUCAUGAAUGAAGAGUAGGAGUGGUGCAUCCUAUGCCUACCUCAUCCUUAAUAUUUGUUUUCCAACUGUAGUUGGGUGUAUUGUUCCUUCCCUAAUCCACAAAUAUUGUCUUGUUUGUGUUUUGGAUGAUAAACAAUCUACCUGCAUUAUCAUCUAGAUUCUCUUUAUUUAAGCUUAGAAAUAUUCAAUUUUUUGUUUGAUUGAGCCACUAACCAUAAACCCAGUUCAUGAUAGCAUUUAACUCCUAUGUCUAACAGCAGAAGUAGAAGUAGUUACUAUUGUGGUUUGAUUGAAUUUUAUGCUUGGGAAUUGUAAUUUAAAAAGUUUUAUUAUAAAUAAGAAUAAUUAUAAUAUUUCUUUAAAAUUUUAAUGAAAUAAAAAUCUGCUUAUCUUAUCAUGUUUUAGAAAAAGCAUGGGCUCCAUGCUUUUUCAAAACAUAGCAAAUCACAUUGAUAGGUGGGGACCAUGAUUGAGAGUUCUAUCCAAAUUGCAUUCAGACCUUCAAAUGCUGCUUUUAGCAUUUGAGAAGCUCUCCCAAACAGGUUUAGUUUGUUUCCAUUUUGUUCAUAAUGGAUUUUUAUUAUGCAAAGUAUUCCACUAUACUUACGAAGAUUCUGUUCAUUUGUCCUGUAUAUAAGCAUGACAUCUGUCUUAAUGACAUGCAGCUGUGGAGCAUCCAUAGAAAGUUGGACUUUUAUUCUCUAUUUCUAUCAUGUGGGACAACUGGAUCUUUAUCUCUUCUUAACUUCUUGCAGGAAAGAUUUUAUUUUAGUGACCAUGUUUUGCCUCUAUUUGAAACUGGGAUUCCUCUGUUGAAGCAACGUCUUCACCAGCUUCCUGAUACUGACAAUGUAAGUAUACUCAUGUAAUUUCACCGUGAUAAAUAAGAAAAAGAAAAACACCAAUAGAAAGAAAAAUGGUCAAGUCUUGCAUCCAUGGCCCAAAUACUUGCAAGGUAUUAACCAAGAAAGAAUUCCAACCAUUAUUUAAUGAGUAAUAAGGAAAAGCAAUAAUGCUGUGGGCUUCGAGUAAUAAGGAAAAGCAAUAAUGCUGUGGGCUUCUUCCCAAAAUCCUCUUAAUUAUUUUUCUAUGAGCUUCAGUUUGAUGAUUUUUAUCUUCCAGGUAGUUGUUGCAUUUCCAGAUGAUGGAGCUUGGAAGCGAUUCCACAAGCAGUUGGAUCAUUUCCCGAUGGUUAGUUGAAUUUAUGCUCAACUACAUUCACAAAUUUCUUUUUGUCAUUAAUCUUUUGAAUCAUUUUGGAUGUUGACAUCAAAUGAUAGGUGGUGUGCGCUAAGGUCCGUGAAGGCGAUAAGAGGAUAGUUCGACUUAAGGAGGGCAAUCCUGCUGGCUGUCAUGUAGUUAUUGUUGAUGAUUUGGUGCAAUCAGGAGGCACCCUUAUCGAGUGUCAGGUAAUUGUUAUCUAGUAAUUACGUACCCCUACUCUUCAUAGGUUUUUCAAGUAUGUGCUUCAGAACUUGGAGAAUGCAUAUUUGUUUGUGAUCAGAUUGCAAUCACUUAGUUGCAUAGAGCAAAAUCCUCCAAUUUUUGUUUGAAGUCCUGACUCAUUCACAUUGCAUUUACAACCCAAAUAUUUUUUCAAUGAAAAUAUGUGGCUGAAAUUUCUCUUGAUCGUUUUUUCCUUCUCAAUUCUCUUUUGGAUUUUUUUUUUUUUCAUAGCAUAUGAAAUAUUAAUUCCUGAAUCCUGAAUUGCUCCAUCGUCACUGUUUAAGCUGUGGGAUAAUUGUUUUCAUGAUGCAAAAAUAAAUUAUUCAAAAGUUAAACUAAUCUAUUGUGCAUGAAUGAAUCUUCAGUUAUUUAGUUAUGUUUUUUCAAGAUGAACUUUGAUCUAUUGCUUGUUUAUAAGAAAACAGGAAAGAAAUGCUUAAGGUGAUGAUGAAACAAUAGUGCUACUAACUAGGUAGGUUCUUAUUCUUUUUCUUGUCAGUUUCUCUUUUGACAACAAGUCCACUUGACAGUGUUAGCUUGCGCAUCAAUUAACUUGGCCCACUCAUGAACAAAGCUUAACCCAUUAUUUAGAUCAUUUGGUUUUCUCACUUAUUAAACCCGCAUUUUUAAGUUUAUCUAUAAAAAAAACUAAUUAAAUCCGCAUUUCUUUGGUUCUGCCCUUCUUAUGGUUCCUUUAAUUUAAACUGUACCAAUAUUUCAAUUGCUCAUCUGUUUCUAGUUAUGCCCUUUCUCGUCUUGCAAUUCACUAUUCCGAUAUCCUUAUAUCAGUUUUUAAUGAGCAUACUGCUUCUUGAUUACUCAACAUUCUGAAUCAUGUGCAAUUUAAAGGUACAAUCUGUUGGAUUUGCAAUGUUAGAGCAAAGGUUUAAUAUGGCUACGGGCUUACAGUCACUACAAAAGCACUCCUUUAUUUGGUUGGAGGUCUCUCAUUGAGGUUGUUUUUUAAAUAAGGCCUUUACCAUUUAAUUUCUACAUCCAAUCCUCUUGGAUGAAACCUUCUCUGCAGUCAGCUUGAUCAUCACAAUCACCUAGCUCACCUGGCUCUCUAGCUUGCUUGAUUGAAUUCAUGGAACAGACUGACUUCCUGGUAUUGGAUUAAGAUAGUCAUAGGGCUAAGCAACAAAAUAUGAUAGGGAGAUAGGAUAUGGAGAUUGCCCAUAAGAUUUACUGAUUUCUCAAUCCACUCUGUGGCUGUUACUCCUGGACAUUCAAGUCUACAGAUUAGGUAAUGGAUAGCUUGCUAACUGAGGAGCCUCUAUGCUUGACAGGUCCAUUGGGAUUUCCUUCCUCUGGAGUGAUUUCUUUGGUUGAUGGUUUUUAUUUAUUUAUAUCAUGUCUUAGGCUUUCUAUCAUGUUCACAGCGUUCUGCUUCUAUUUGUCUAGAUGUGAUCCAGGUUCAAGUGCUUGAAGAGCAUUUCUACCAAAACAAAUAUGAUUACCUAGAUAAAAUAUUUCCUUUAUUCUUCCUCUAUAUUGUUUAUGGAAUCUUUUUGGGUUGUUGCUAGCAAAUACCACUAUUUGGUUUUGGUUUUGGAUCUUAAGAAACUGGAUUCGAGAAAAGGGAGGGGGGUAAAGGGGUCAGGGAGAAAAAGAAUUUUUUGCCUUCUUUCCGUUCUGAGAGGGAACUCCGAAAGCUAGAGAGUUCAGUCAACUACGAUUGCUCUCCAUCCAUAAGGGGAAAGGGGAGGGGUGCCAGAAUUUAGGGAAGGGGUUGAUCUUGGCUCAGGAAGCUUUAGUGCCCAGUAGGAGUCUCUUUUUUGGGGUUGUAGUAGGGGUUUCUUUUUUCUCAUGUCUUGGGGUUUCUUUUAGUGCCUAGUAGGAGGGAACUCUGAAAGCUAGAGAGUUAAGUCAACUACGAUUGCUCUCCAUCCAUAAGGGGAAAGGGGAUGGAUGCCAGAAUUUAGGAAAGGGGUUGGUCUUGGGCUCAGGAAACUUUAGUGCCCAGUAGGAGUCUCUUUUUUGGGGUUGCAGUAGGGGUUUCUUUUUUCUCUUGUGUCUCAGUUUCCUUUGUGGCUGUUUGUUGUUAGGGUGGUGGGUUUUUCUUCUCUUUUCUCCUGCUUGCCGAUCAGGUCUAAUUGUAUACUCCGUGUGUACUUUGUUGUGCCUUUUGGCAAGUGCUUUUAAUAUAUCCUACUUAUUUGCCUAUAAAAAAAAGAUUAUUUCCACAGGAGAUCCAGACCCAUGUUUUUUUUCUGAUCCUUCUAUAAAAUGUUUGAGCCUUUAUAUAUACAUUUUUUUUGGUUUGAUUCAAAGAGAGCUCAUCCUAAUUACCUUAAUUAAUGAAUGUUUAUUUCCUACUAGAAAAAUGGGAAAACAACACCAUGAAUUUCAAAAUAAUAUUUUCUUGGUGAGUGGGAAGGUCUAGUAGAUGGGUAGUCAUGGAGGAACAAAAAAAAAUGUAAUUCAAUUAAAAAUUAGAAAAAUAUAUAUAUAUAUAUAUAUAUAUAUAUAUAUAUAUAAACCGUUAGAAGAUGCAUAUAGAAGGCCAAAGAGGGAUUGUAUUGGAAGUUAUGAACAUUUGGUUUGGUGAGAGACUAUAUAAUAUGGUGACUAGUUACAAAUUAUUUUGUUUCCUCUCAUUUGAUUUUUUUUUUUUUUUUUUUUUUUGCAAAAUAAACAGCUUAGUAUUGUCCGUCUCCUAGUAUUGACUUGGCUAUGUCAACAGGGAAAAUCCUUUUUCCCUUGGAAAUGAAGUCAUUUUGCAGUACUUUGCAUGUUGAGGAGCAAACCCAUUUUCUUUUCCAUGUCAUCUUAUAUGAGGUAUCAGAUGGAUAUUUUGAGAAUUUUGAGCAAUGACAUCAUUUCCAUGUUCUGGUUGUCAUUUCCAGUGAUAGUUUAUCCUAAUUUUAUCUGUGAUGACUCCAUCAUAGAGGAUGGAUUUGUAUCUUCAAAUGGCAUGGUUUCACCCAUUAAUAACCAUUAGAUAAUGUGCUCAUCAGUAACUCAAAAACGUUGUAAAAUGGAGAUUGCCCUAUGAAUUUUUGGCCCUUAUAAUGCACAUUUGAUUAGAGAAGAUUAAGACUUUUUUUCCCCUUUUCUUACCUCAUGUGGAACUGUCAUAUAGUUUGAUAGGAUGGACGUACAUGAUUGGGCAUGUAAGAACAACAAGUAGCUUGUAUCAUGCAUCAGUAUUGAACUUAAAAUAUUUAUACUGCUUAUGGAACUUAAAAUUGUCUUUUCCCCUCUCUUUCCUUGUUUGGGUCUACCAGAAAGUUUUGGCAGCUCAUGGUGCUUCCAAGGUGAGUGCUUAUGUCACUCAUUCUGUGUUUCCUAAGCGAUCCUGGGAGCGAUUCAUUCACAAAAACGAUGGUAAUUAUCCGCAUUGCCUUAUCUAUCUUCCUUUUACGGAUACAUUACUAACUUGUUCUUAAUUUCUAUUUGGCUUUGAUGCUCAACUUUCAAAAGGUUCGGAGAAGGCAUUUACCUACUUUUGGACCACGGAUUCUUGCCCUCUCACUGUGAAAGCAAUAGGAAAUAGAGCUCCUUUUGAGAUUUUGAGUCUUGCAGGAUCCAUUGCAGAUGCUCUUCAAAUCUGAAAUGCAAUUUGAUGGGGUUUCUAUUCUGGAAGUCCCAUAGUAAAUUGCAUGGGGUUCAGAUGCUAACAGGAAACCUGUAACUUAAAGAAGCCCUUUUCAGGGAUCUUAUCCUUCAAUAAACUUGGACUGCUUAACCCUGCUCCCGAGAGAGACUUGAAUACUUGACUUACUAAUAAGUUAACCAAAAUUUUCAGCAACUUAAUUUAAAAUGUUUGGUUACUCAAAGAAGCCUGCUGUGUCAAUUUCUUCUUUGUUCUUGAGACUCGAAAGAACCUGGACAAUAGUUGGUGAUAAUCGUGUGGUAGUGAUCGGCGGCACUCUAUUUUCUGAGUUAAGAGCCCAAAAAUCACGCACCCAGGCGAUCCAAAAAUAAUGCAUGAUAAGCCAUAGGGGUUUGAUGUUGGUAUUCUGGUAAUAAUGAUCGGCAGGUUAUGGGCGGCAUGCCCGCAUUUUGAUCGACAGUCCGAAUUCUUCCAUUUUGAAAUCUGCUUGGAAGCUU
rnacentral:lncRNA from 1 species